CGUGAAAGUAUGAACGAAAUUGGUUUUGUUUAUUUUGUAGCGGCAUUUUGACUUUCUCUUGGACAAUAAAAUUAAAUUAUCAUGUAUUAUAUCCCCUGAAACGAUACGGUCCAACCACAAAGUGACGGAACCCACUUCUAAACUGAUGUCAUCUGUGCGGUUCUGCAACGGAGAAAAGAAAUUGCAAUACCAUUGAUAAAUAUUUAUAUUUAAUAUGAAAAUUUUCGCACUACCUGUUUUGACAAAGUGAACACCUGUGUUCCGGAAGUAACUAACAUUCAGGUGCAAAUCGGAUGUCAAAGUAACCCCUAAUUUUGAUUAUCGUGAUCAGACAUUUCCCUCAGCCGGAUUUAGUGUUCAGCGAUUUAUCAUAAUGAUUGUAGUCUUUACCAGAGGGUACCAAUUGAACCGGAUGAAACAAUUUACUAUCUUAUAAAGGGUGCAAGCGUUUUAAUUUAUUUUUACAGCCUCAUCUACUUUUCAACAUUAGAUUUAUGAUAUUAUCACAUUAACCAUAUGUGGGCAUACAUAAACAUUGAUUUGUUUACCUUCAAUCCUAAAAUACCAUUGAUAAAUGCAAAAAAGAAAACAAAUAUUAGUCUUCCAACACAACGAACAUCCGGUUUCUAUGAGAGGGUUUCUUUCCCAUCACUUCCUUGAAAGAAAGUAAAAGCACUUUUAUGGAUAAAAUAAAGCAGAAGUAUGUUAAGUGGACUAAAGUUAAUGAGCUCAAAGGUAACAGCCUGCUCGACCUAGUGCACGUCCGUGUCUAACGUCUUGGUUACGCAUCAAGACCCACUAUUACACCAACUGUUAUAUCGUACCCUUUUUCUCAGUGAUUAUAUCAAUAAGAGUACCCAAGGCUUCUAUUCUUUAAAGCACUUUAAACUAUCAAAUACCAUAUUCACACUUCAGUAAGUUAACUUUUUGUGAAUUGUUUUGAUAAAAAUAUUAAAAGUUACUUCUUGCAAAAAGUUACCUGAAAUAUCAUUAGCAUCGGAUUACCAUUUGAUACAAAGAACUGAAAAAUAAUGAUGCUCAACCACAAGCUUGUUGCUUUUUUCUCAUUGUUGAGGUAUACUACGGCGUAAGGACUCCAAGAGUCACACGAUAUCGGAUAACUCCUGCCGGAAGGUUCGAACAAUGAAAUGUAAUACUAUUGCCGAUGUACUUGAAAUAGAAUUUUUACAUCAAUAUC